AUGCCGCGUGUGUGAAGAAGGCCUGAGGGUUGUAAAGCACUUUCAGUGGGGAGGAGGAUAGCAUGGUUAAGAGCUGAGCUAUUGGACGUUACCUACAGAAGAAGCACCGGCUAACUCCGUGCCAGCAGCCGCGGUAAUACGGAGGGUGCGAGCCUUAAUCGGAAUUACUGGGCGUAAAGGGUGCGUAGGUGGUUAAAUAAGUUAGAUGUAAAAACCCUGGGCUUAACCUAGGACUGAGAUUUAAUACUGUUCAACUAGAGUAUGGGAGAGGGUAGUGGAAUUUCCGGUGUAGCGGUGAAAUGCGUAGAGAUCGGAAGGAACACCAGUGGCGAAGGCGGCUACCUGGCCUAAUACUGACACUGAGGCACGAAAGCGUGGGGAGCAAACAUGGAUUAGAUAUCCCUGGUAGUUCACCGCUGUAACGAUGUUAAACACACCGUUG
rnacentral:rRNA from 1 species